AAAACAAGAGCUUGAGCGACGGGAAAAGGAGGAAAAGAAGAUACAAGAACUUACAAAUGCACUUAUGCAUGAACAGGCGCAGAUGGCAAAGGAGCGUAAUGAGAGAGAAAAGGAGAAGGCGAUGGAAAUGAUGAAGAGUAUGCAACAGGAACAGGCAGCCAAUAACAGGCAGAUGAUGGAAUUAAUGGGCCGAAUCCUCGAGAAAACAGCAGCUCCGCCGCCUUCUGGCGGUAGGUGCACCAUCUCGUAAAGGUGAUCACGUUGCUGUUGUCAACACACCCAUCCCAACCUACACUUCUCAGCUGUU